UUCUAAUUCAUUCGAUAUUCUACACGAUUUUUCUGUUUAAGAACAAAAUGGAGUAGUGGGGGUACUGUCACGAUCGCGACGUCUAUAUAAGUGGGCCGAAUUUGACAGUUGCUCCAAUUUUGUUUCGAAUACCGACGAGUAAACAUGGCCGCUCUCGCAGAAUGCCCUUCUCGUAAGUAUUUCUAAUUCAUUCGAUAUUCUACACGAUUUUUCUGUUUAAGAACAAAAUGGAGUAGUGGGGGUACUGUCACGAUCGCGACGUCUAUAUAAGUGGGCCGAAUUUGACAGUUGCUCCAAUCUUGUUUCGAAUACCGACGAGUAAACAUGGCCGCUCUCGCAGAAUGCCCUUCUCGUAAGUAUCUCUAAUUCAUUCGAUAUUCUACACGAUUUUUCUGUUUCAGAACGAAAUGGAGUAGUGGGGGUACUGUCACGCUCGCGACGUCUAUAUAAGUCAGCCGAUUUUGACAGUUGCUCCAAUCUUGUUUCGAAUACCGACGAGUAAACAUCGCCGCUCUCGCAGAAUGCCCUUCUCGUAAGUAUCUCUAAUUCAUUCGAUAUUCUACACGAUUUUUCUGUUUUAGAACGAAAUGGAGUAGUGGGGGUACUGUCACGCUCGCGACGUCUAUAUAAGUGGGCCGAAUUUGACAGUUGCUCCAAUCUUGUUUCGAAUACCGACGAGUAAACAUCGCCGCUCUCGCAGAAUGCCCUUCUCGUAAGUAUCUCUAAUUCAUUCGAUAUUCUACACGAUUUUUCUGUUUCAGAACGAAAUGGAGUAGUGGGGGUACUGUCACGCUCGCGACGUCUAUAUAAGUCAGCCGAUUUUGACAGUUGCUCCAAUUUUGUUUCGAAUACCGACGAGUAAACAUGGCCGCUCUCGCAGAAUGCCCUUCUCGUAAGUAUCUCUAAUUCAUUCGAUAUUCUACACGAUUUUUCUGUUUCAGAACGAAAUGGAGUAGUGGGGGUACUGUCACGCUCGCGACGUCUAUAUAAGUCAGCCGAUUUUGACAGUUGCUCCAAUCUUGUUUCGAAUACCGACGAGUAAACAUCGCCGCUCUCGCAGAAUGCCCUUCUCGUAAGUAUCUCUAAUUCAUUCGAUAUUCUACACGAUUUUUCUGUUUUAGAACGAAAUGGAGUAGUGGGGGUACUGUCACGCUCGCGACGUCUAUAUAAGUGGGCCGAAUUUGACAGUUGCUCCAAUCUUGUUUCGAAUACCGACGAGUAAACAUCGCCGCUCUCGCAGAAUGCCCUUCUCGUAAGUAUCUCUAAUUCAUUCGAUAUUCUACACGAUUUUUCUGUUUCAGAACGAAAUGGAGUAGUGGGGGUACUGUCACGCUCGCGACGUCUAUAUAAGUCAGCCGAUUUUGACAGUUGCUCCAAUCUUGUUUCGAAUACCGACGAGUAAACAUCGCCGCUCUCGCAGAAUGCCCUUCUCGUAAGUAUCUCAAAUUCAUUCGAUAUUCUACACGAUUUUUCUGUUUCAGAACGAAAUGGAGUAGUGGGGGUACUGUCACGCUCGCGACGUUUAUAUAAGCGGACUGACUUUGACAAACGAAAUGGAGUAGUGGGGGUACUGUCACGCUCGCGACGUCUAUAUAAGUGGGCCGAAUUUGACAGUUGCUCCAAUCUUGUUUCGAAUACCGACGAGUAAACAUCGCCGCUCUCGCAGAAUGCCCUUCUCGUAAGUAUCUCUAAUUCAUUCGAUAUUCUACACGAUUUUUCUGUUUCAGAACGAAAUGGAGUAGUGGGGGUACUGUCACGCUCGCGACGUUUAUAUAAGCGGACUGACUUUGACAAACGAAAUGGAGUAGUGGGGGUACUGUCACGCUCGCGACGUCUAUAUAAGUGGGCCGAAUUUGACAGUUGCUCCAAUCUUGUUUCGAAUACCGACGAGUAAACAUCGCCGCUCUCGCAGAAUGCCCUUCUCGUAAGUAUCUCUAAUUCAUUCGAUAUUCUACACGAUUUUUCUGUUUCAGAACGAAAUGGAGUAGUGGGGGUACUGUCACGCUCGCGACGUCUAUAUAAGUCAGCCGAUUUUGACAGUUGCUCCAAUCUUGUUUCGAAUACCGACGAGUAAACAUCGCCGCUCUCGCAGAAUGCCCUUCUCGUAAGUAUCUCAAAUUCAUUCGAUAUUCUACACGAUUUUUCUGUUUCAGAACGAAAUGGAGUAGUGGGGGUACUGUCACGCUCGCGACGUUUAUAUAAGCGGACUGACUUUGACAAACGAAAUGGAGUAGUGGGGGUACUGUCACGCUCGCGACGUUUAUAUAAGCGGACUGACUUUGACAAACGAAAUGGAGUAGUGGGGGUACUGUCACGCUCGCGACGUCUAUAUAAGUGGGCCGAUUUUGACAGUUGCUCCAAUCUUGUUUCGAAUUUCGAAGAGUAAACAUCGCAGUUCUCGUUAUACGCAUUCUCCGUAAGUAAUAGAGAAGAGUUAAUGUAAGUACAUAAUUGAAUCACAUAUUCAUUUAAUAUUCUAUACGAUUGAUUCUGUUUUAGAAUUAAAUCUUGAUGCGAAUGGCAGCAUAUUACUACGUUGUAUUUAACGUUUCGGGUGGGACCCUUGGGAGGGGCCCAAGGGUGUGGGCCUUCGGGCGGGUUACUGUCUCCAUAAUCUUUUCCUUUUCGUUCCCCCUCCUAUUCCUUUUUUGCUUCAGGUUAUAUUAUCGUGGAACCUUCGCUGCACUCUACCAUUACAAAAUCGGAUCUGUGACUGACUGUCUUUGAUUACUUCGAAGAGUGAACGUAGAAAUAUUCGCAGGAUGCCAUAGGAGCGAGUAUUAACGAAGAUUUUACGCAAGUACCAUGUUAUAUCUCUCAUAUUUUCGAAAUUCUAUACUAUUUCUUUUGUUUUAGGCUUCGACUUUGCACUCUCGGAAGACGAUGGCGAUAUAUCACCACGAGUGGACUUAGAAAUAUUCACAGGAUGCCACUCGAGCGAGUAUUAACGGAUAGUUAAUUCAUAUAUACAACAGUUUAUUUGAUUUUAGACAAAUUUGAAGUACGGGUAGUCGGCUUGGAAUAACGACAACAAAGUCGCGCCUUCGACCGACCUGUACAGUUUCUAGUUCAGUUCUGCUUUGGACUUUGACGAGUGAACUUAGAAAUUUUCACAGGCUGCCAUAGGAGCGAGUACUAACGCAACGAGUGCUAACGAUUUUACGCAAGUACAAUGUUGUAUUACUCAUAUUUUCCACACUCUACGCUUUCUUUUUGUUUUAGGCUUCGACUUUGCACUCUGGGAGGCCAUUGACAGUCUUUCUCCAUGGGGGGACUUAGAAUUUCCAUAGGACGCCAUAGGAGCGAGUACUAACGAAGAUUUUACGCAAGUACAAUGUUGUGUUACUCAUAUUUUCCACACUUUACGCUUUCUUUUUGUUUUAGAUUUCCACUUUGCACUCUCGGAGGCCGUUGACAGUCUUUCUCCAUGGGGGACUUAGAAAAUUUCGCAUCUUUGGAGGACUUUGAAAAUCUAUCUCCACUAUUGGACUUAGAAUAUUUCGAAACCCUUGGGGACUUUGAAAAUCUAUCUCCACGAGAGGAGUUAGAAAUUUUCGCACGAUGCCGAAUUCGAGCGAGUAUUAACGAAGACGUAAAAACCUCGUUGCUAUCGCGCGCGUUGCAAUGAUGUAAUCGAGUGUUAGUAUCGCUAAAAUAAAUUUAUCGCGAAGUAGAAGCAGUGUUUGUUCGUUCGCGUUUCGCGAUUUAAACCAUAAGUGUUUUUGCAUAGACUGCGUGCAAUGCAGUCCUUAGAGUCAGUGUUUGUUCGCGUAGUUUUUUGAUUUUUUAACAGUCGCACAGACUGUACUUGUAAAAUAUAGUAGAGUUGCGUUAAGUAAAUUCAGUGACCGUUCGUUAAUGAGUAACUACCGCGAAUUAGAGUCAGUGCAUCACUGAAGAGGAUCUCGACCAACUUCGAUGUCGACCUACCUCAUUUUCAACCAACUACAAAUCAUCCACCCUCAAUUUCGACCUAAAUCGCGGUCCAGUGUUUUGGAGCCAUCGCAGAACUUCUUAAGUAGUAAGUUAAUUUUUAAGUCCUUCCGUUGACUCAGUCAUGUCGAGGACGAAAGGUCCGAAUCGGCACGAAUGAUUGCUUGUAGUUAAUACGUAAAAGAGCAUUGAGUGACUACUAGGAAAUUUUUUUUUAUUUUUCGUUUCAGAAUGGCUUUCGAGUUUCGUUAGAUUGAUUAGUUUUCUUAUUAGUUUUCGAAUAAGGGUAUUUAGUAAUGUUCUAUAGUAGUUGCUUGGGCAUGAAGCAAAGAAGAAGUUGUAUGCUGCAAAGGUCUUUACAUACUGUGGCUCAAGAGGGCAACUAUUAGAUUAUUGAGUUAUUUUCGAUGGUUCGACAAAUUAGUCUAAUUGGAUAUAUUUUAAUUUCUAUGUGGUCACUCAAAAUGCUCUUAUUUAAUAAUAAUUUUGAUUUCAGAUACUCCAACGACAUAACUCUCCAUCUUCCAUUCCACAUUGUCACGUGUACGGGAAAGGAAUUGUUACAUAUUUCAUUCAUUUUUAGUAUUAAAGUCGAAUAGUAAAUUUUUCUUUUAUUUACAUUUUCUUUUUUAAAGUUCAAUCAAAUUUCUAAUAUCUUAUUUUUACAAAAUCAAAUUCUAUAUUCAAAUCAUAGCUACGAAAUGUAUAAGAUACUAUAAUUGUUGGGAUUACUGAAAUUGCGUUGAAUAAAAGUCCAUAUAGGAUUGAAACAAGUUCACAGAGGUUGAAGGCAAGUUCUUUCUUUCUUUCGCGCGUUAUAAGAAGAGAAUAUUCGUUUAAAUUUGGAUCGGGAAUUUUUCAUUUUGAUUUUCUCUUAUAAAUUUAAAUUGAAUUAA